rnacentral:misc_RNA from 1 species
AACGCACCGUAUUGCUCGCUCACUUUCUCAGCGUGUCUCCUCCUCAAUUUCCCAUCCCCCCUCUCGAUUGCUGUGUACAUCUCGGUGAUGUUGUCGUACGUCGGGACUAUCUCUAACCAAUACCCCUCGAAGUAGUACUCCCCUUCUAGAUAAAUCUUGUCCAUUAAUCUCUUAUCUUUGUACAGCAGGUAAAUCAGAGCCGACUGAUCGUCCGAUGCCGGGAAGAGCUUGUCUUUGAAUAACGACCGUUGAAUCUGACCCCACUUCUGGAACUCCGGGCCCAUCGGACCCAUUUUGGCCCACGUGUCCAUGAAAUCCAUGGACCAUUGACAGUUCCUGAUCAGGAAAACCCCGGCGUUUAAGGCAGUCCAGCUCUUGGCCUCGUAAAUCAGCUUCGCCCACCCGUGUACCACCAGGUUGUGGUUCUUAUAAUCAUAACGGCGUAACGGGAGUUUGUAUUCCAUGUCGGUGAACAUCGCGUCUGAGUCCACCCACCAGAUCCACUC